AUUGGGACAUAUAAAAAAAGACAACUCUGUUCCACAGGGUAGCUGUUGACAUUAUAGUUGCGCAGGAACUUUGUUGACUCUAGGGAACCUCGGGCAAAUCGCACAUCCCCAUGGUGGCGACUUUGCAUGCAGAUGUCAUCCAUAUCAACUUUUGAUGCCAGUUUCUGCGCCUACCAUGGUGACCACGGGUAACGGGGAAUCAGGGUUCCAUUCUUUACAGGGACCCUGAGAAACGACUACCACAUGCAAGAAAGGCAGCAGGCG